CACGUAGGGGGCGAGCGUUGUCCGGAAUUAUUGGGCGUAAAGAGCGUGUAGGCGGCCAUGUAGGUCCGGUGUGAAAACUCGAGGCUUAACCUCGAGAUGUCAUCGGAAACCAUUUGGCUAGAGUCCGGAAGAGGAGAGUGGAAUUCCUGGUGUAGCGGUGAAAUGCGCAGAUAUCAGGAAGAACACCAAUGGCGAAGGCGGUGGUCUGGGCCGUAACUGACGCUGAGGAGCGAAAGCUAGGGGAGCGAACGGGG
rnacentral:rRNA from 1 species